rnacentral:sRNA from 1 species
GACAGCGCACCUAUAAUGAUGAUGUAUUGGUUAUCCAGUUCUGCUUAUGAGAAGUAGCUGAUUAUAACCUCCACAGCGCACC